UUUUCCUCCUCCCAUGGCCGACCCUAACACCAUUGUUGCCUAUCUUCCACUCCGAUUUGCCUCCUUGCUCGCCGUCGACCAUCGACCACCGCCCCGUGGCCACCGCUUCAUCACCGUCGGUGAAGAAAAUCUCGAGGUUAUUGAACACAGGAUCGAGGAUUAGAGCGAAUCUUUCGGAGUUCAUCGUUUAGACCAAGGUGAAAAGUGAAGCAGAUUAUUGUGGUUGGAUUCGGUAGUUUGCCAGAAAGACGAAGAUUUAGAAUUUUUAUUUCCUUUAUUCAAUUUAUUCAUGAAAUUAAUAUUCAGACUUAAGUUAUUGAAAUUCAUUGUUUUAGACUUCCGCUGUAGAGCCUGAUUUUGAUGGUUGAUUUUAGAAUAAAUCGGACUUUUUUAUAACCUAAGUGACGA